rnacentral:lncRNA from 1 species
UCCCCUCCGCGGCUCCCUUCGUCGGCCUCCCUCGCCGAUGCAGUCCACACCAGUGGCCUCCACCCCCUCCCCGAGCAGCUCACACGGGAUGAGGGAGUCGCGCCGUCGGCAGGGACGGCCGAGAAGACCUCAACCCUGCGGGUUCCUCUCCCUGAUGUGUAGCAUUUUAUCUGUUAGAGUAAAUUUCUUUUUAUGCUCCUGCUGGUUCGUUGGAGUUUGAUCUGUUCAUGGGGAUGCUGCUUUGUCUAGUUGUACACAUGCCCUGAUUCGUGUGUGCAUAACAGGAGCAAUUAGGGAUUCGUGAGAUAUGAUGGUGAAGCAACUAGUUUAAUAAUUCCUGUCAGAUGCAAGCAAAUGGUUCAUUUGAUUUCUUAUGGAAGUUGCUAGUAGGGGAUAUCUGCAAGCAGAGUUCCUAGAAAAAGUAUUGCAAGCACAUGCUAGUCUGGUCAUUACCCAGGCUGCGUACAGUAACAGUAAACAUUGUUAGCUUAAUCCAAACUUGUUAGUCUACAAAUCUACAUCGGUGUAGUAGUAUAGGAAAGCUAGCUUGAGUUGGUUUUCUUUUCUUGUGUUACUAGUGUUCAGCCAGAAUUAGUAAGGUGUGAUCAACGUGGCCGUAUAAUUAGAUUAGGAAAAAUACUAAGUUGAGUCUGGCUACGACUUGUGCCUAGCUAUCUAGCUGCGUUGGUAGAAGUAGUACUAGGAUUAGGAAUUUGUAGUCCAAGUCUGUUAAUAGGUGAAUUCGAUUCGACUAGGACCUGUAUCCGCUGGUGCUGGCUGCGUGUAUAUAUAUACACCAGCCGUGUAUACUUUGUAAUCGUGAGAAAAGAGAAAAAGAAAUAAAGAGGAAGAAAAGAUCAAUGGAGUAACCUACACUAGUUCAUUCACUACUAGUUAGAUCAAUGGAGUAACCUGUUAUCUCAUUUGCAUUUUUUUUUCAGUAAAAAGUCAUGGCAUUGGUACAUAUAUGUCAUACAUACAUGCUGAUUGCAAUAUGGGAUCCCUGGUAAUAUAGAAACAAGAUAAUGGAACAGUGCAAAAAAAAGAUUAUUUUGUUCAGUAUUUUCCAUGUCAUAUAUGUUGAUGACUUAGCUAGCUAGCCUAAUUCCACACUUUACGGAUGUCCAAUUUGUGUCAAUGUAGGUUAGAGCUGCCGCCUUAUAAGCAGAUUGUGACAUACGGGGCGCGUUCUUACAAGAAUCCACUGACCUAGAAUUGUACAUAUACAUGUGAACCUUGCUGUGCAAAUCCAUCAUCUAAUCUAAAUGCAAUGACAUGCAUAGUCUAACUUAAUUCUCUAUCUGUAAACUGCUAGGAAAAGAAAAAAUGUUGAGCCAGCAGAUAUACAAGCCAAUGCCAUAGAUGCUGAAACUAUGGGUACUAGCAGGUAAACAUGCUUGUUUGGCUUUAAACAAUCCAUAAUGGUCUAAUAUUUCCUAUUGUAAAUUUGCAUUUCAACACUCUUAUUUUCAUUCAUUCUCAGUUCUAAAGAAAAGGAGGUGGUAAAAGGGCAAAGCCUAGCCCAGUUUUUGAAGCAUCUAAGAAGACUUCUGCUACACAUGAUAGUCCAGCAAAGAACACAAGAAGUAAACAAUGUCCUCCAUCGAAGAGCACAAGAAGCAAAAAGUUGUGAACCUUCCUGUGCAACUACAUGUUAUUUUGUGGAACACCAUGCCAUAUGGAACCUUGCUGUGUAGUUGUGUAGCUGAUGCAACUGCAUGUAAUUUUGUGGAGCACCAUGCAUAUUUGAACCUUGUUGUGUAGCUUGUUGUGUAGCUAAUGCAAUUACAUAUUGUGAAGCACCAUGCCUUGUUGUGUAGCUGUAGCUGAUGCAACUACUGUGCUAUGUUCAACUUGUGUGGAGCUUGACUUUUGGGUGGUUCAUAUGCAUGUGAACCUUGCUGUUUAGAUUAGUUGUGGAUUUGUACUCCUAAGAAAUAAUUUGUUGAUAUUUAAAAUGUCUUAACCUCUUUACUAUGCUACUGGUCAUGAUGUUAUUACUUUGCUUACUUCU